CUUCCAAUUCUCCUAUAAAUACUGCUACUCUUUCCCUAAACCUACAGUUUUCACAAUUCCUAUACCUUUGUCAUUUGUUUAGAAACCCUAUUUAGGUUUACAUCAGAUUGUAGAAAUGGCCCUCUUCUUAUUCUUCCACAGCUUUCUUGAACUGCAGAUCACUUUAGUUGAUCACUCAAUAACCAUCUCUGUAGUUCAAUAAAGUUGUGGGAAGAUACGAUGAUGGUCAAAAAUCAAAAUUAACCACAAUUCUAUAGCUCAAUUUAUACCCUUCCAUGCUAUAUUUAUAUGUAUACUCACUCACUCACUCUCUCUCCUGUUUUUAGUAGAUCUGAAAUGAAUUAGGAGUUAGAAGUUGCAGCAUACAAUAAGUUACUUCCAUUUUCCAUUAUUCAUUUACUAGGAUUGGUAGUGCGUUUGCUAAGGAGAGAGAGAGAUCUUUGCUUUUGGCAGCGUUUUGAUUGAUUGAACAAUGCAAUAUUGUUGUUGAGUUGCUGCUUUUAAUCUAACUAAUUGUGUACAAUCAUUUUUUCUCUUGUGAA